rnacentral:rRNA from 1 species
AGUUUGAUCAUGGCUCAGGAUGAACGCUAGCGGCAGGCUUAACACAUGCAAGUCGAGGGGUAACAGGGAAAAGCUUGCUUUUUUGCUGACGACCGGCGAACGGGUGCGUAACGCGUAUAGAAUCUGCCUUGUACAGGAGGAUAGCCUUUAGAAAUGAAGAUUAAUACUCCAUAAUGUUGAGAGAUGGCAUCAUCUUUUAAUUAAAGAUUUAUCGGUACAAGAUGACUAUGCGUCCUAUUAGCUAGAUGGUAAGGUAACGGCUUACCAUGGCAACGAUAGGUAGGGGGUCUGAGAGGAUUAUCCCCCACACUGGUACUGAGACACGGACCAGACUCUACGGGAGGCAGCAGUGAGGAAUAUUGGUCAAUGGAGGCAACUCUGAACCAGCCAUGCCGCGUGCAGGAAGACUGCCCUAUGGGUUGUAAACUGCUUUUAUACAGGAAGAAACUUAGUUACGUGUAACUAACUGACGGUACUGUAAGAAUAAGCACCGGCUAACUCCGUGCCAGCAGCCGCGGUAAUACGGAGGGUGCAAGCGUUAUCCGGAAUCAUUGGGUUUAAAGGGUCCGCAGGCGGUCAAUUAAGUCAGAGGUGAAAUCCCAUAGCUUAACUAUGGAACUGCCUUUGAUACUGGUUGACUUGAGUUAUACGGAAGUAGAUAGAAUAAGUAGUGUAGCGGUGAAAUGCAUAGAUAUUACUUA